rnacentral:sRNA from 1 species
UACGCCAGAUGACGCGCAGCACGCCUCCAC